rnacentral:rRNA from 1 species
AGAACGAACGCUGGCGGCAGGCUUAACACAUGCAAGUCGAGCGCCCAGCAAUGGGAGCGGCGGACGGGUGAGUAACACGUGGGAACAUGCCUUUCGGUACGGAACAACUUCGGGAAACUGAAGCUAAUGCCGUAUGCGCCCUUACGGGGAAAGAUUUAUCGCCGAAAGAUUGGCCCGCGUCUGAUUAGCUAGUUGGUGAGGUAACGGCUCACCAAGGCUUCGAUCAGUAGCUGGUUUGAGAGAACGACCAGCCACACUGGGACUGAGACACGGCCCAGACUCCUACGGGAGGCAGCAGUGGGGAAUCUUGGACAAUGGAGGAAACUCUGAUCCAGCCAUGCCGCGUGAGUGAUGAAGGCCUUCGGGUUGUAAACUCUUUUACCAGGGAAGAUAAUGACUGUACCUGGAGAAUAAGCCCGGCUAACUUCGCGCCAGCAGCCGC